rnacentral:RNase_P_RNA from 1 species
GAAGCGGGCCAGACCGCCGCUGGUGCGAUCUCGGAAACGAGGCACUGGAGGAAGGUCCGGACUGCACAGGGCGGCGUAGCAGCUAACGGCUGUCCACCGUGAGGUGAGGAUCAGAGCAACAGAGACGAGCCGAUUCAGUUCGGGUGAAACGGGCAAUCUCUACGCGCAGCAACACCAAAUAGGCCAGCGUUGAUGUGGCUCCGCGGAGCUGGCGGGUAGGUGGCAUCGAGCCAUGCAGCGAUGCAUGGCCCAGAGGAAUGGCGGUCACGCUCGGCGCUUCUUCGGAAGUGACGGGUGCACAGAAUCCGGCCUAUCGGCCCGCUUCACAC